rnacentral:rRNA from 1 species
GAUGAACGCUGGCGGCGUGCCUAAUACAUGCAAGUCGAGCGAACAGACGAGGAGCUUGCUCCUCUGACGUUAGGGGCGGACGGGUGGGUAACACGUGGAUAACCUACCUAUAAGACUGGGAUAACUUCGGGAAACCGGAGCUAAUACCGGAGAAUAUAUUGAACCGCAUGGUUCAAUAGUGAAAGACGGCUUUGCUGUCACUUAUAGAUGGAUCUGAGCCGCAUUAGCUAGUUGGGAAGGUAACGGCUUAUCAAGGGAACGAUGCGUAGCCGACCUGAGUGAGUGAUCGGCCACACUGGAGCUUGGCCACGGUCCUGGCUCCUGCGGUAGGCCGCAGUAUCCAACCUUCCGCAAUGGUCGAAAGCCUUGCGGAGCAGCGCCGCGUGAGUUAUGGCGGUCUUCCGAUCGUAAAACUCUGUUAUUAGUGAAGAACAGAUUUGUAAGUUACUAUACACGUCUUGACGGUACCUAAUCAGAAAGCCACGGCUAACUACGUG